AGUGAACGCUGGCGGUAGGCCUAACACAUGCAAGUCGAACGGCAGCACAGUAAGAGCUUGCUCUUACGGGUGGCGAGUGGCGGACGGGUGAGGAAUACAUCGGAAUCUACUUUUUCGUGGGGGAUAACGUAGGGAAACUUACGCUAAUACCGCAUACGACCUACGGGUGAAAGCAGGGGAUCUUCGGACCUUGCGCGAUUGAAUGAGCCGAUGUCGGAUUAGCUAGUUGGCGGGGUAAAGGCCCACCAAGGCGACGAUCGGUAGCUGGUCUGAGAGGAUGAUCAGCCACACUGGAACGGAGACAGGGUCAAGACUACUGCGGGAGGCAGCAGUGGGGAAUAGUGGACAAUGGGCGCAAGCCUGAUCCAGCCAGAGCGCGUGGGUGAAGAAGGCCUUCGGGUUGUAAAGCCCUUUUGUUGGGAAAGAAACGCAGCAGGUUAAUACCCAGCUGUUCUGACGGUAACCAAAGAAUAAGCACCGGCUAACUUCGUG
rnacentral:rRNA from 1 species